UAUGUGAUCGUCUCUCGCAUAUCAAUAAGCGGAGGAAAAGAAACUAACAAGGAUUCCCCUAGUAACGGCGAGUGAAGCGGGAAGAGCUCAAAUUUGAAAUCUUAAAGGGUUUCCCUUUACGAAUUGUAGUUUAAAGAAGUGUUUUCUGUUGAGGUUUUGGUAAAAGUUCUUUGGAAUAGGACAUCAUAGAGGGUGAGAAUCCCGUAUUUGACCUUCACUUUCAACUUUGUGAUACACUUUCAAAGAGUCGGAUUGUUUGGGAAUGCAGUCCAAAAUGGGUGGUAAAUUUCAUCUAAAGCUAAAUAUUGGCGAGAGACCGAUAGCGAACAAGUACCGUGAGGGAAAGAUGAAAAGAACUUUGAAAAGAGAGUUAAACAGUACGUGAAAUUGUCAAAAGGGAAGCGUUUGACACCAGUGUUGUUUUUCUGAAAAUCAAUUAAAGAACUGUUUAUGCUAAGCUGUUUAGACUUUAUCAGCUAUCUGUUUAGUUUUGAGCUUUUCUUUAAUGCACUUUUCAGCUAACAAGUCAACAUCAAUUUCCUUUGCUGUAAAAAAGCUUGAGGAAGGUGGCUUGAGAUUCGUCUUAAGUGUUUAUAGCCUCUUGCCUAUGCAGUCGGAGAGAUUGAGGUCUGCAGCGUAGAUCCUUCGGGGCUAAAUGCAUUUGUGCUAAGUUAUAGCAUUUUAUAGACAACUUGUUGACUAUGAUUUGUCUUGUAGCUUACUCGCUUAUGUUAUUUUACCUACGCUUAGGAUGUUGACUGAUAUGUAGUCGUA
rnacentral:rRNA from 1 species